rnacentral:tRNA from 1 species
AUUUAAAUAGCUUAUAAGUAAAGUAUAAUAUUGAAAAUAUUAAGAAAAUUAGAUUUAAUUUUUAGAUA